CCUGAAACGGGUGCUAAUGCCGGAUAGGCAACUGGUAGGCAUCUACCGGUUGGGAAAGGUGCAACUGCACCGCAGGAUGGAGGAGCCCGCGGCGCAUUAGGCUAGUUGGUGGGGUAACGGCCCACCAAGGCGACGAUGCGUAGCCGACCUGAGAGGGUGACCGGCCACACUGGGACUGAGACACGGCCCCAGACUCCUACGGGAGGCAGCAGUAGGGAAUCUUCGGCAAUGGGCGAAAGCCUGACCGAGCAACGCCGCGUGAGCGAAGAAGGCCUUCGGGUUGUAAAGCUCAGUCACCCGGGAAGAGCGGGCAGGAGAGGGAAUGCUCCUGUCGAGACGGUACCGGGAGAGGAAGCCCCGGCUAACUACGUG
rnacentral:rRNA from 1 species